rnacentral:tRNA from 1 species
GCUGGCGUAGCUCAAUCGGCAGAGCAAGUGAUUUGUAAUCACUAGGUUGGAGGUUCAAGUCCUCUCGUCAGCUCCA